rnacentral:pre_miRNA from 1 species
AGUAUGAUCGUUGGGUCAUAUGGUAAGAGGAUGUUUUGUAAGAAAUUGCCAAACUGUUUUCCAAAGUGGCUGUACCAUUUUGCAUUCCCAUGAGCAAU